rnacentral:rRNA from 1 species
AGGUUAAGUUAUUAAGGGCGCACGGCGAAUGCCUUGGCACUAGGAGCCGAAGAAGGACGGCACUAACACCGAUAUGCUUCGGGGAGCUGUAAGUGAGCUUUGAUCCGGAGAUUUCCGAAUGGGGGAACCCACUACGUUUAAUCGCGUAGUAUCUUGACGUGAAUACAUAGCGUCUUGAAGGCAGACCCAGGGAACUGAAACAUCUAAGUACCUGGAGGAAGAGAAAGAAAAAUCGAUUCCCUGAGUAGCGGCGAGCGAAACGGGAAGAGCCCAAACCAAGAGGCUUGCCUCUUGGGGUUGUAGGACACUCUAUACGGAGUUACAAAGGAAUGAGUUAGAUGAAGCGACUUGGAAAGGUCCGCCAGAGCAGGUAAAAGCCCUGUAGUCGAAAGUUCGUUCCCUCCAGAGUGGAUCCUGAGUACGGCGGAACACGUGAAAUUCCGUCGGAAUCCGGGAGGACCAUCUCCCAAGGCUAAAUACUACCUAGUGACCGAUAGUGAACCAGUACCGUGAGGGAAAGGUGAAAAGCACCCCGGAAGGGGAGUGAAAGAGAUCCUGAAACCGUGUGCCUACAAGUAGUUAGAGCCCGUUAAUGGGUGAUAGCGUGCCUUUUGUAGAAUGAACCGGCGAGUUACGAUUACGUGCGAGGUUAAGCUUUAGAAGGCGGAGCCGCAGCGAAAGCGAGUCUGAAUAGGGCGAAUUAGUACGUGGUCGUAGACCCGAAACCAGGUGAUCUACCCAUGUCCAGGGUGAAGGUGAGGUAACACUUACUGGAGGCCCGAACCCACGCACGUUGAAAAGUGCGGGGAUGAGGUGUGGGUAGCGGAGAAAUUCCAAUCGAACUUGGAGAUAGCUGGUUCUCUCCGAAAUAGCUUUAGGGCUAGCCUCGUGAUGAGAAUACUGGAGGUAGAGCACUGUUUGGACUAGGGGGCCAUCCCGGUUUACCGAAUUCAGACAAACUCCGAAUGCCAGAUAUUUAUACACGGGAGUCAGACUGCGAGUGAUAAGAUCCGUAGUCAAAAGGGAAACAGCCCAGACCACCAGCUAAGGUCCCAAAGUAAUCGUUAAGUGGAAAAGGAUGUGGCGUUGCACAGACAACCAGGAUGUUGGCUUAGAAGCAGCCAUCAUUUAAAGAGUGCGUAAUAGCUCACUGGUCGAGUGACGCUGCGCCGAAAAUGUAUCGGGGCUAAACGAUUCACCGAAGCUGUGGAUUGACAUCUACGAUGUCAGUGGUAGGAGAGCGUUCUAAGUGCGUUGAAGUCAGACCGGAAGGACUGGUGGAGCGCUUAGAAGUGAGAAUGCCGGUAUGAGUAGCGAAAGACGGGUGAGAAUCCCGUCCACCGUAUGACUAAGGUUUCCUGAGGAAGGCUCGUCCGCUCAGGGUUAGUCGGGACCUAAGCCGAGGCCGAUAGGCGUAGGCGAUGGACAACAGGUUGAUAUUCCUGUACCACCUCCUCACCGUUUGAGAAAUGGGGGGACGCAGUAGGAUAGGGUAAGCGCGCCGUUGGUUGUGCGCGUCCAAGCAGUAAGGCGUGUGUGUAGGCAAAUCCGCACACUGUAACGUUGAGCUGUGAUGGCGAGUCCGUAUGGACGAAGUUCCUGAUUUCACACUGCCAAGAAAAGCCUCUAUCGAGGUGAGAGGUGCCCGUACCGCAAACCGACACAGGUAGUCGAGGAGAGAAUCCUAAGGUGUGCGAGAGAACUCUCGUUAAGGAACUCGGCAAAAUGACCCCGUAACUUCGGGAGAAGGGGUGCUCUUGAGCGUGCAAGCGCAUGAGAGCCGCAGUGAAUAGGCCCAGGCGACUGUUUAGCAAAAACACAGGUCUCUGCAAAACCGUAAGGUGACGUAUAGGGGCUGACGCCUGCCCGGUGCUGGAAGGUUAAGAGGAGUGGUUAGCGCAAGCGAAGCUGCGAAUUGAAGCCCC